rnacentral:rRNA from 1 species
AUCAACGCUGGCGGCGUGCCUCAGACAUGCAAGUCGAACGAUUAAACUUUCCUUCGGGGAAGAUAUAAAGUGGCGCACGGGUGAGUAACACGUAAGUAAUCUGCCUUCGAGUGGGGAAUAACAUCGGGAAACCGAUGCUAAUACCGCAUAACGCAGCGGCACCUAAUGGUGACAGUUGUUAAAGGAGCAAUUCGCUUGAAGAGGAGCUUGCGGCAGAUUAGCUAGUUGGUAAGGUAAUGGCUUACCAAGGCUUCGAUCUGUAUCCGGUCUAAGAGGACGGUCGGACACACUGACACUGAAUAACGGGUCAGACUCCUACGGGAGGCAGCAGUCGGGAAUUUUGGGCAAUGGGCGAAAGCCUGACCCAGCAACGCCGCGUGAAGGAUGAAGUAUUUCGGUAUGUAAACUUCGAAAGAAUGGGAAGAAACAAAUGACGGUACCAUUUAUAAGUCCGGCUAACUACGUGCCAGCAGCCGCGGUAAUACGUAGGGAGCCAAGCGUUGUUCGGAUUUACUGGGCGUAAAGGGCGCGUAGGCGGCAAAUUCAAGUCAGCUGUGAAAUCUCCGGAGCUUAACUCGGAACUGUCAGCUGAUACUGCUCUGCUAGGGUGCGGAAGGGGCAAUCGGAAUUCUUCGGUGUAGCGGUGAAAUGCGUAGAUAUCAAGAGGAACACCUGAGGUGAAGACGGGUUGCUGGGCUGACACUGACGCUGAGUGCGCGAAAGCCAGGGGAGCAAACGGGAUUAGAUACCCCGGUAGUCCUGGCCCUUAAACGAUGAAUACUUGGUGUCUGGAGUCUAUAUUAGCUCCGGGUGCCGUCGCUAACGUUUUAGUAUUCCGCCUGGGGAGUACGCACGCAAGUGUGAAACUCAAAGGAAUUGACGGGGACCCGCACAAGCGGUGGAGCAUGUGGUUUAAUUCGACGCAGCGCGAAGAACCUUACCUAGGCUAGAAUGCUGCGGGAAUCUUGGGUAACGCCAAGAGUCUCGGGAAACCAGACCCAAAACAAGGUGCUGCAUGGCUGUCGUCAGCUCGUGUCGUGAGAUGUUGGGUUAAGUCCCGCAGCGAGCGCAACCCCUAUUGAUAGUUGCUAAUCAUUAAGUUGAGGAACUCUAUCAAGACUGCUGUUGAUAAAACGGAGGAAGGUGGGGAUGAUGUCAAGUCAUCAUGGCCUUUAUGCUUCAGGGCUACACACGUGCUACAAUGGUCCGGUACAAACGUUGCAAUCUCCUCAGAGGGGAGCUAAUCGCAAAAAACCGGUCUCAGUUCGGAUUGAAGUCUGCAACUCGACUUCAUGAAGUUGGAAUCGCUAGUAAUCGCAGAUCAGAAUGUUGCGGUGAAUACGUUCCCGGGUCUUGUACACACCGCCCGUCACAUCACGAGAAGUAGGUUGUACUAGAAGUGGCCUGGCCGAACCCGCAAGGGGAGGCAGGUGCCCACGGUAUGAUCGGAUGAGUGGGGUG